GUCCCAUGCCUGCAGGGUGCCCAGCACCAUGUCCAGUUGCACGUUGAAGCUCACUACAGAUGGAGACUCUCCAGCCUCUCUAGGCAACCUGUGCCUGUGUUCUGCCACCCUCACAUUACAAAAAGUAUUUCUUUUGUAUUGAUUGAAUUUUAAAUUUUGAGCCUGGGGCCUCUGGGCCUGGCCCUGGGCACCGCUGAGCAGAGCCCGGCUCCGGCCUCUCCGCACCUCCCUGCGGGUACUGACGGCCAUGGGGGAGCUCCCCCGGAGCCUCCUCUGCUCCAGGCCCAGCAGCCCCAGCUCUCGCAGCCUCUCCUCACAGCACGGGGGCUCCGGGCCCGGCAGCACCCUGGGGGCCCCGGCCUGGGCUCUCCCCGCUGGACCCAGCUCUCUCUGUGCUGAGGGGGGCCCAGGACUGGUCCCAGCACUCCAGGUCUCCCCAAGUCACCCCAGC